rnacentral:tRNA from 2 species
GCCGGUGUAGCUCAAUUGGUAGAGCAACUGACUUGUAAUCAGUAGGUUGGGGGUUCAAGUCCUCUGGCCGGCACCA